rnacentral:ribozyme from 1 species
UAUUUGCAUGUCAAAUACCUUUUCGUGGUGCAAAUAUAAGUAAUUCAUUACUGAAUGAAACUAAAUUUGA